AGAGUUUGAUCCUGGCUCAGGAUGAACGCUAGCGGCAGGCCUAAUACAUGCAAGUCGAACGGGUUGUUGCAGCAAUGCAACGAUCAGUGGCGCACGGGUGCGUAACGCGUAUGCAACCUACCUUAAACUGGGGGAUAGCCUGGGGAAACCCAGAUUAAUNCCGCAUAAGAUCACGAGAGGGCAUCUGAUUGUGAUUAAAGAUUUAUUGGUUUAAGAUGGGCAUGCGUGCCACUAGCUAGUUGGUAGUGUAACGGACUACCAAGGCUACGAUGGCUAGGGGUUCUGAGAGGAUGAUCCCCCACACUGGCACUGAGAUACGGGCCAGACUCCUACGGGAGGCAGCAGUAGGGAAUAUUGGGCAAUGGACGCAAGUCUGACCCAGCCAUGCCGCGUGCAGGAUGAAGGCCUUCUGGGUUGUAAACUGCUUUUAUCUGGGAAGAAAACACCUAUGCGUAGGAAACUGACGGUACCAGAUUAAUAAGCACCGGCUAACUCCGUGCCAGCAGCCGCGGUAAUACGGAGGGUGCAAGCGUUGUCCGGAUUUAUUGGGUUUAAAGGGUGCGUAGGCGGCCCGUUAAGUCAGUGGUGAAAGCCUCCAGCUCAACUGGAGAACUGCCAUUGAUACUGACGGGCUUGAGUACAGACGAGGUUGGCGGAAUUGAUUGUGUAGCGGUGAAAUGCAUAGAUACAAUCAAGAACUCCGAUUGCGUAGGCAGCUAACUAGGCUGUAACUGACGCUGAGGCACGAAAGCGUGGGGAGCGAACAGGAUUAGAUACCCUGGUAGUCCACGCCGUAAACGAUGAUUACUCGAUGUUGGGCGAUACACAGUCAGCGUCUUAGCGAAAGCGUUAAGUAAUCCACCUGGGGAGUACGCCCGCAAGGGUGAAACUCAAAGGAAUUGACGG
rnacentral:rRNA from 1 species